GACGAACGCUGGCGGCGUGGAUUAGGCAUGCAAGUCGAACGGUAUCAUCCUUUCGGGGGUGAGAGAGUGGCGAACUGGUGAGUAACACGUAGGUUAUCUACCCUCAAGACGGGGACAACCCAGGGAAACUUGGGCUAAUACCGGAUGUGAGCAACUUUUAGUUGUUUGAAAGGUGGCGUAAGCUGUCGCUUGGGGAUGAGCCUGCGUCCUAUUAGUUAGUUGGUGAGGUAACGGCUCACCUAGGCAAUGAUAGGUAGGCGGCCUUAACGGGUGGUCGCCCACACUGGGAUUGAGAUACGGCCCAGACUCCUACGGGAGGCAGCAGUCGAGAAUAGUCUACAAUGGUCGGAAGACUGAUAGUGCGACGCCGCGUGAACGAUGAAUCCCUUCGGGGUGUAAAGUUCUUUUAUAUGUGAGCAGUGCUUCUUAUAUUAACAGUAUGGGGAGAGAGAUAUUAGCAUAUGAAUAAGCAACGGCUAACUCCGUGCCAGCAGCCGCGGUAAUCUU
rnacentral:rRNA from 1 species